rnacentral:rRNA from 1 species
UACGGGGGGGGCAAGCGUUGUUCGGAAUUACUGGGCGUAAAGGGCUCGUAGGCGGCCAACUAAGUCGGACGUGAAAUCCCUCAGCUUAACUGGGGAACUGCGUCCGAUACUGGAUGGCUUGGAUUUGGGAGAGGGAUGCGGAAUUCCAGGUGUAGCGGUGAAAUGCGUAGAUAUCUGGAGGAACACCGGUGGCGAAGGCGGCGUCCUGGACCAACACUGACACUGAUGAGCGAAAGCCAGGGGAGCAAACGGG